ACACUCUCUCUCUCUCUCUCUCUCUCUCUCUCUCUCACCCAUCUCCGUCCCAUCAACAUAUAUGUAAUAUAAUAAUCCAAAACAAAAAGAAAAGAGGCAAAUCGACCGUUCCUAGAGCAAGUGACAAAAAACUUGAUGGUUGGUAUUCGAGAUCUAAAUUUGAAUCCUAGUUGAUUUACAUUUCUAGUUAAGUUUAUUUUUAAAUAAAAUAAACGAAACGAAUAGCAUGUUAUCUAUCUCUCUCAAAAAAAAAAAAAAAAAAAAAAAAAAAAAAAAAAAAAAAAAAAAAGCGGAAAAGUAGCUGGUGAAGUGCGCUUUUACCCACAGCACUCAACACGCCCUCGCCCUACGUUUUUCCCAACUUUUGCGAACCUUCCCAUCAAAAACCUACGACUUGCGAUCAAUAGAAAGAACGAGAGAGCUUUUGUUUUAUUAUUAUUAUUAUUAUUAUUUGUUUGUACAACAGUUCUCUUUUCUAUGUUAUUUAAAUUUAAAAUUAAUUUUAUACAUAUUUUUAUAAAUAUAGUGAAUAAUAAAUAUAUAUAUUUAUAAUAAAGUUUAAUUUUCAUUGUCUUUUCAAAAGUCAUGAAAUUUUUAAAUAUGUCCCUAUUAUUAAAAUACAUUAGAAAAAUUUAAUUAGUCAUAGAUUAAAUAUUUAAUUCUGGUUAGUUUUUAAUAUUUUUAUUCAUUCAUUUAUAUUAUACUGUUAUGACUUUUGGAUGGAUAUAUUUGUGAUAAAAAAGUGUAAAAAAUAUACGAUUCUCUAACGGUAACAAACUAGAGAGAUAUAUUUGAGAACACUAGGACUUUUGUAGGAAUAAUAUAUAAAAGUUGAAUUUCGUAAGAAUAUAUUUGUCAUUCACUGUAUUUACAGGAACCUAUAUGAAAUUAAUCCUUAAAUUUAUUAUAGGAAGAGAAAACAAAAAAAGAGUCUGUUUUU
rnacentral:lncRNA from 1 species